AUUGAACGCUGGCGGCAUGCUUUACACAUGCAAGUCGAACGGUAACAGGCCGCAAGGUGCUGACGAGUGGCGAACGGGUGAGUAAUGCAUCGGAACGUGCCCAGUCGUGGGGGAUAACGCAGCGAAAGCUGCGCUAAUACCGCAUACGAUCUAUGGAUGAAAGCGGGGGACCGUAAGGCCUCGCGCGAUUGGAGCGGCCGAUGUCAGAUUAGGUAGUUGGUGGGGUAAAGGCUCACCAAGCCAACGAUCUGUAGCUGGUCUGAGAGGACGACCAGCCCCACGGGGACGGGGACACGGCCCAGACUCCUACGGGAGGCAGCAGUGGGGAAUUUUGGACAAUGGGCGCAAGCCUGAUCCAGCAAUGCCGCGUGCAGGAAGAAGGCCUUCGGGUUGUAAACUGCUUUUGUACGGAACGAAACGGUCCUGGUUAAUACCCGGGGCUAAUGACGGUACCGUAAGAAUAAGCACCGGCUAACUACGUGCCAGCAGCCGCCGUAA
rnacentral:rRNA from 1 species